CGAAAGAAAGAUUAAUACCCGAUGGCAUAAUAGAACCGCAUGGUUUGAUUAUUAAAGAAUUUCGGUUAUCGAUGGGGAUGCGUUCCAUUAGGCAGUUGGUGGGGUAACGGCCCACCAAACCUUCGAUGGAUAGGGGUUCUGAGAGGAAGGUCCCCCACAUUGGAACUGAGACACGGUCCAAACUCCUACGGGAGGCAGCAUG
rnacentral:rRNA from 1 species